UGCCAGCAGCCGCGGUAAUACGAAGGGGGCAAGCGUUGUUCGGAAUUAUUGGGCGUAAAGCGUAUGUAGGUGGUCUUUCAAGUCAGACGUGUAAGCCCUCGGCUCAACCGAGGAAUUGCGUUUGAAACUGAUCGACUUGAGUGCAGGAGAGGAAAGCGGAAUUCCCAGUGUAGCGGUGAAAUGCGUUGAUAUUGGGAAGAACACCGGUGGCGAAGGCGGCUUUCUGGUCUGCUACUGACACUGAGAUACGAAAGCCAGGGGAGCAAAGGGGAUUAGAUA
rnacentral:rRNA from 1 species